GUGCCCUGACCCCGUUUUCGGGGUUCCCAGGUGGAUUUUGGGGCUCCCAGGUGGAUUUUGGGGCUCCCCGGUGGAUUUUGGGGGUUCCCAGGUGGAUUUUGGGGUGCCCUGACCCAUUUCCGGGGUUCCCAGGUGGAUUUUGGGGGUUCCCAGGUGGAUUUUGGGGCUCCCCGGUGGAUUUUGGGGUGCUGGGCUGGAUUUUGGGGUAUCCUGACCCCAUUUUCGGGGUUCCCAGGU
rnacentral:lncRNA from 1 species